AACCUUUGCAAUGUGCGCAAGCACGACAAGGUUAAUCCGAGUGUUUCCUGCUUAAGGAAUCUUUUGUUAGUCCUAAAAACACUAGUGAAUAAGGGGUGGGCAAGUUCUGGUGUCAGCCGCCGCGGUAAAACCAGCACCUCAAGUGGUCAGGAGGAUUAUUGGGCCUAAAGCAUCCGUAGCUUGCUCUGUAAGUUUCCGGUUAAAUCCAUUAGCUCAACUAAUGGGCUGCCGGAAAAACUGCAGAGCUAGGAAGUGGGAGAGGUAGACGGUACUCGGUAGGAAGGGGUAAAAUCCUUUGAUCUAUUGAUGACCACCUGUGGCGAAGGCGGUCUACCAGAACACGUUCGACAGUGAGGGAUGAAAGCUGGGGGAGCAAACCGGAUUAGAUACCCGGGUAGUCCCAGCUGUAAACGAUGCAGACUCGGUGAUGCGCUGGCUUGUGGCCAGUGCAGUGCCGCAGGGAAGCCGUUAAGUUUGCCGCCUGGGAAGUACGUACGCAAGUAUGAAACUUAAAGGAAUUGGCGGGGGAGCAC
rnacentral:rRNA from 1 species